rnacentral:rRNA from 1 species
CCUGUUUAUCAAAAACAUCGCCUUUAGCCCCCCAAGUAUUAAAGGUCCCGCCUGCCCAGUGACUAAUUUUUAACGGCCGCGGUAUCCUAACCGUGCAAAGGUAGCGUAAUCACUUGUCCCCUAAUUAGGGACCCGUAUGAACGGCUAACUGAGGGCACCCCUGUCUCCUGACGCCAACUAAUGAAACUGAUCUGCCGGUACAAAAGCCAGCAUACCCACACAAGACGAGAAGACCCUGUGGAGCUUACAACCUCACCACUACUUACACACCCACAUGCCACUAAGUUAACCCUAGCCCGCGGUUUAAGUUGGGGCGACUACGGAGCAAAACAAACCCUCCAAGAAACCCAGGACUAACCCCCCCUACCAGGCACACACGCCGACAAGACACCCACAUGACCCAGUAUAACUGAUCAUCGAACCAAGUUACCCCAGGGAUAACAGCGCCAUCCCCCUUCAGAGUCCAUAUCAACAGGGGGGUUUACGACCUCGAUGUUGGAUCAGGACACCCCGGCGGUGCAGCAGCUGCCAAAGGCCCG